rnacentral:miRNA from 1 species
CUCAAGACCAAGACAUUGGAUC